UACAGAGGUCUCAAGCGUUGUUCGGAUUCAUUGGGCGUAAAGGGUGCGUAGGCGGCGCGGUAAGUCGGGUGUGAAAUCUCGGAGCUUAACUCCGAAACUGCAUUCGAUACUGCCGUGCUUGAGGACUGGAGAGGAGACUGGAAUUUACGGUGUAGCGGUGAAAUGCGCAGAUAUCAGGAGGAACACCCGUAGCGAAGGCGGCACUCUGGGCCGAUACUGACACUGAGGAGCGAAAGCGUGGGGAGCGAACAGG
rnacentral:rRNA from 1 species